AGCGGGCUGCAGGGCUGCGGGCGCUUGGUUCGGCCUGGCCCGGCCGGCGGCUCCUAACACCGGGCGGGCGGCUGCGGCGGCACUUCCGGGUUGGCCUUCUCCAUGUUGGUCUCGGGAACGUGAAGGGGCGGGGCCUCGAGGUCAGGGGUCAGCACCUCCCUGGUUGCCGUGGCGACUGGAGGCGCGCGACGCGGGCGCAAUGGCGGGGACCCGGGGCUUGAUGCUGCUUGGGCCUGGCCCAGUGGCGGGUCCUAGGGACGUGGGUACCUGCAGAGGCCGGCAGAUGGAGAUUCAGAAACAUAAGGACAACAAGAAACUUCCCCAAGGUAUCAUUAUAGUCUUUAGACUUCAGACACACACCACACCUCAAAUAUAUACACAACUGAAAGGAAAAUUAAGGAAGUUUUUCAAAGAACCCUAUUCCGAGUAAGAAGUGUGUUGCAUGAAUUUCUAAGGUCAAAGAUGUUGAUUCAUUCAUAGUGUGAGGCCCAGAAAUCGGCAUUUUUAAACAAGUACACUGGACAUUUCUAAAGCUGGCUAAAGUUUGAGAGACACUAUCCAAGGGAAAUUUCUCCGUAACUCUUUUUCUCAGAAGAAAAGUAAACUAAAAGUAAAAAUAAGCAGUACCACUAAGUUUCAAGUGAUCUUCUCCUAAAAGAAGAAAAGGCCUAUAUUCAGGCACAAGAAAAGUAUAUUCUCUUUUAUCCAUGCAGAAAACAGCUAGUGGUUGAAAAUCAACACUUCAGACCUCUUGUCUACAUAAAGCCAACUGCCCCUUUGUUUUACUGAUGUCUUCAAUGAUUUUACUUAGAUUUUUCUACGGCAUUUACUGAAUUAGCUAAGCAGACACAGAUCCAGUCCUUCAUGAAUAUGGUUUGGAGACUCUCUACUGAAUCAGCACUCUUAGCUUCACCGACAUAGUCUCUUGGUAGACCAGAAGGUGUAUCUUAUCUGGAAAGACUGCUAUAUCUACACCCACAAAAAGCAUUAUUUAUCUGAACACUAAAUUCUGACUUCCUUGCCAUUUUAGGGAGCCACUUUAAAACAUUUUCAAUAUUUGCUAUUUUGUAGCAGCAAAUCCUUCAGAAGGAGGUCAAGUGAUGGCCUUUAUCUGUUCCCAGUGUCUUGCCCUUAGGUCCUCAGGGCACCCCCUGGACAGCAGCCUUAGGAACCAGGUACAAAGCACAAGCACUGCUGGUCCGCAUGGUAAGGAAUCACUUCCAGACUGGGCCUUCCCAUGGGCUUCCCUGAGCUUCCUGGACUCAAAUCAUAGUCCUUCUUUUCCUCUCCCCUUUGGACUUGAUAAACGCAGUCCCAUUCAUUUAAUCUCCAACUUAGAAAUCCGGAGAAUGUGAGCCCUGGGAUUUACUUUCAGACACCCUCGUCGAUAACCUUGGCCACUUAGGUUGCUGCAGCCUGUCCCCAGGGAGACAGUUAGAAUGGAACAAUGACACAAACAACACCAACAAUAACAACAGCAGCAGAAGCAGAAGCAACAAUAGUAGAACGAGAAAUAAUUUAUAACAUGCUUACUACAUGCCAGGCACUAAGUGCUUACCCAUAUUAACUCAGUUAAUUCUUAUAACAACCAGAUGAGAUAGAUUUUCUUAUUAUCCCGAUUUUACAAAUGAGCAAACAGAGGCACAAGCAGGUUAAGAAACCUCCCCAAGGUUAAACAGUGAGAAACAGCAAAGAUUUGAACAGUGAGAAACAGCAAAGAUUUGAAACAGCAAAGAUUUGAACCUAUUGUUCGGGAGUCCAUGCUGUUACUCAUUUCUUUAUGCUGCCAUAAUCUAAUAUAAAAUUGAAUAACAAUAAAUGCACCUUAUAUUUGUAUAGCUAUACACACUAAUUUACAUGAUCUUCAUAAGAACUAUGAAAUGGCUGUGAUUAUCCCCAUUUUUAAAAUGAUACUAUAAAGGCAUAAAAUGCUGUAUUUAUGGUAUGCAACCCUUUGGUGAACAACCCUAUAAAUAUUUAAUUACUUAUAUUGAUGUUCUUCCUACGUCUAAGAAAAAUGUUAUUUCCAUUCCCAAGAUGUUAGUAGAGACGAAGAUUUUUCAAUUUGUCUCCUUGAUUUUGUUGGAUUAUAGCAUUAAAGUUAUUUUUACAAAGCCAUCUACGGUAACCCAGUAGAAAGGGUAAGCCUGUUGGCUUAGGAAAACUGAAUGGCAUUCAGUUUCUUCAAAGAAAUUUGGGACAGAUGUGGGUUUUUUUUCUUCUUCUUCUUCAACAAAUCCAGAAGAUGAAAAAUGUAUUUUAUUUCUUGUGAAAUGCAUUUUUCUGUUCAUCUCAGUAUGUGGGACUGUUGAAGUUUAUAAGUUUGGCAGUGUUCUAACAUGGCCAUCCUGUUCUCCUUUAGCAACUUAUUAAAUGUAUUUUUUUUAAUGAAAACA
rnacentral:lncRNA from 1 species